rnacentral:rRNA from 1 species
GGUGGAUUAGUGGCGAACGGGUGAGUAACACGUGAGUAACCUGCCCUUAACUCUGGGAUAAGCCUGGGAAACUGGGUCUAAUACCGGAUAGGAGCGUCCACCGCAUGGUGGGUGUUGGAAAGAUUUAUCGGUUUUGGAUGGACUCGCGGCCUAUCAGCUUGUUGGUGAGGUAAUGGCUCACCAAGGCGACGACGGGUAGCCGGCCUGAGAGGGUGACCGGCCACACUGGGACUGAGACACGGCCCAGACUCCUACGGGAGGCAGCAGUGGGGAAUAUUGCACAAUGGGCGMAAGCCUGAUGCAGCGACGCCGCGUGAGGGAUGACGGCCUUCGGGUUGUAAACCUCUUUCAGUAGGGAAGAAGCGAAAGUGACGGUACCUGCAGAAGAAGCACCGGCUAACUACGUGCCAGCAGCCGCGGUAAUACGUAGGGUGCGAGCGUUAUCCGGAAUUAUUGGGCGUAAAGAGCUCGUAGGCGGUUUGUCGCGUCUGUCGUGAAAGUCCGGGGCUUAACCCCGGAUCUGCGGUGGGUACGGGCAGACUAGAGUGCAGUAGGGGAGACUGGAAUUCCUGGUGUAGCGGUGGAAUGCGCAGAUAUCAGGAGGAACACCGAUGGCGAAGGCAGG